ensembl:lncRNA
UAUAUAUAUAUAUAUAUAUAUAUUUCACUUGCCAGCAUUGACAAGUUAAAGCCAUCAUUGAUGUUUGCAGUGCAAAAUCUGACUGAAAGGAUAAAAAUAACGGUUAAUUUUCGUUAAUUUUCUAUCCGGGUCGUUAGAUCUAGAGUUGUAUGUUACUAUGGUUAGAGUUGUUAAUUUACAACGGUGAUUAAACUGACUGGAACUACCUGUGCAAAUUCAACAGUUUGAGCACACACCUUCCAGCCAUUCAGAAUCGAGUGUUCAGACAGACCGUGGUAUAAAUGAGUGAUAUACUAGACGUACUAGAUGUUUAUUGUAUUAUUAUACGCAUGCCAUCUGCUUUUUUAUGUAUCGUCAUAUUAGUCCUUUUUUCUUUCUUUUUUUUUCAUUGAUAAAUUCUCUUACUUUGCUUUGAAAAAAAGAAUAAUUAUGUCCUUCUUCAGUCAGCAUUUUCUAGUCCUGAAUUUUUUUUUUUUUUUUGAUGAGACUUAAAGGAAGAGCUUAUGUUUAAAUACUCUGAUGUAGAUGCUAUAGAAUAACCCUGCCAUGGAUAUUUAAGUAAAAUCUGCCAAGCUCAGAGGCGCCACUUACCCACAGGUGGUUUCCAUAAACGGGGAGCUUAACUUAAUCAUGUGCUUAACCCGACUCUGAAUACCAGGAAUGUUCCCUGUGUAAAUAUUGACAUAACUUUUUCAACUCAAGUCACCGACUCUGAAUACGGCCCACAAUUAUAAACUGUAAGCAUAAGCACAGAACCACUUUGGUAAGAACAAUGUACUAAACACAGUUUAACCAAAAGGAUGUAAUACAUUCAGUUGCUUUCCUGCUGAAUUUCAACACUCUAAAAGUAAUAGUCAGUCAUAUAGGCUUAUAAAUUUUAUUUUGCUACUCUUGUUGUCUUUGCACUGUGUAUCUACUGUAUGCACUAUACUGUAUUUAUUUUUAGAUUAUUGUAUACAAUGCAUGUACAGUACAAGCUAGCUUACCAAUACCUGACUGAAAAAAAAGAAAAGAUUUUUGUUAUAUUUGUGUAAUGUUUUGAUAUAUUUUACUCAGUCCAUCAGAUCUGACUGCAAGAGGAAUAAAGCUUCCUAAACGUGCAUGUUUUUAUGUAUGAGAAUGUCAGUGGCUACGGAUUUUAUAUAUCAUUUACAUUUUUGAUCAGAUUUACAAAAGCACUCACUCAGCCACUUGAUGUUUUAGCAUAUGGCUUGUGUAUAAAUGCUGUAUGCUACUCUGUGAAUGCUCUGUCAGGCAACUUCAAAAUUAUCGGCACCCAUCGGGUCUCAUGAGGAUGAUUUUUUUUGUUCUACUUUCUGAAAUGAUUUGAGUGGAAACAUAGGCAAGGUUUGGGUAUUUGGUUGAAUUACUUUCGCCUGUUCUCUUAAAGGGUGCCAAUAAUUCUAGAGCUGGCUGUGAAUCCUGUAGCUGCUGGCAUGGUCGUGUCAGUGCUAAGGCAAACACAGAAUUAGAAAUGUGUGUGCUUGUGUAUCAAUGUGAGACCAUAAAACUGACCACUGUUUUGAAAAGGAAAGCAGCUCAAACACUAUUUAAUAAUAAUAAUAAAACUACAUUAAAAUAAUCAUGACAAAAUAUGUUGUUUUUGUAAUAGAAUUAAUUUCUAAAUAAAGCAUGGCCUGCUAAACUCAC